ensembl:lncRNA
CAAAUGAACCCAGUUAUUUCCCAAAUGAGUUUAUAGAUGUUUAUUUCUUAAAUCAGGACCCAGUAAGAUUUACAUGUUGCAUUUUUUUCAGUCUCUGGUAGUCUAGAACAGCUACACAUGGUGAGGUUUGGGACCGCAGCAUCAGAGCACCUGGAACCUGUUAGAGAUGCAGCUUCUUUGGCCCUGCUCCUGACCUCCUGUCUCCAAACUCUGGGGGUGGAGCCUGGGAAUCUGUGUUUCAGCCAGCCAUGUGAUUCUUAUUCAUGCACAAGUUUGCGAAUCACUGAUAGACCAGGCCAACUUUUCUUCCCCCUAGUUCCUUGUCCUUCACCAUCUCCUGGAGAUUGCUCAAACUCGUGUCCAUCAAGUCGGUGAUGCCAUCCAACCAUCUUGUCCUCUGUUGUCCCCUUCUCUUCCUUCAAUCUUUCCCAGCAUCAGGGUCUUUUCCAUUCAGUCGGCUCUUCGCAUCAGGUGGCCAAAGUAUUAGAGUGUAGGAAUUUAGAACCAGAAAAUUGGCUUCCAUGUGUUGUGCUGUGCUUAGUCGCUGAGUUGUGUCCAACUCUUUGCAACCACACAGACUGUGAAGUAGUACUUAAAAAAAGAAAAAGAAAAACAGGGAAGAAUACAAAGGCAGUUAUCCCCUGAUCCAUGAAGAAGAAACAAACAUGGUUUCGUUGCAACGGGAGAAGGUACGAGACAUUGAGCACCCAGGAGCAAACCCCCUUUCAAGCCUCAGGAUCACACCUGGGCUCACACUGGGCUAAUACCCCAUUGACUUCAAGUCAUAUGCUUUGAUCCCAGAUUCAAGAGAAUGGGCAGGUCAUCCUGCCCGUGGUUGGAGGGCACUGCAAAAUAAUCUGGCAAAGGACGUGGGUGGAGAAAGGGUGAAGGAUUGAAGGCAAAGGAUACAUCCCUCACACCCCAUCUGAAUUUUCCCCGGGAGAAUACACCCUCUCUGUCAGUUCCCUGAGUGAGGUUCCGCCUCCUGCUCAGGGGUGGAGUAGCUGACAAGGCGUCAGCCAAUCAGAGCACUGAAUUGCCCUGGCUACUGGUGAUUGGCUCAUCCGUGAUACAGGAUCCAUUCAGGACCAACCAAACACAACGCAGACACCAACGAGGACAAGACUGAGAGGAAGGGGAAUCGCACUCUUUCCAGCUGGGAAUCACUCUGAGAUGACACCGGUUGGGGGGACUGGCAGCCAUCCUACACCACCGGCAGAGAGGAAGAAGUCCCGGAAUAAGUUGACACAGAAGGGGCCGAGCUGGUGGAGAGGGAAAUCCAUCGCGGUGUUGAAAUUGAAGCCUCUGCAUAAGCUGCCCCUGAUUUGUGCUUCACUUUUACAAAUCAGUUUCAAAUCAGCCAGUCUGUGUUGGUUUAUCUAUUCCAGCUGCUCUGCUGCUGCUGCUGCUGCUGCUUAGCCACUUCAGUCGUGUCCAACUCUGUGGGACCCUGUGGACUGUAGGCCUUGCCAGGCUCCUCUGUCCAUGGGAUUCUCCAUGCAAGAAUACUGGAGUGGGUUGCCAUUCCCUUCUCCAGGGCAUCUUCCCAACCCAGGGAUCGAACCCGGGUCUCCUGCAUUGCAGGCAGAUUCUUUACCACUAAGCCACCAGGGAAGCCCCGUUUACCUGUUAUUCGGGAUCAAAUGGAUCCUGAUGAACACUCAGGUAAUCUCAGCAUGAGAAGUGAGAAUCUAGACCCAGAAGCGCUCAGUGGCUUCUAGAAAUCAAUGUUACCUAUGUUGAUCCGUGGCUGCUGUGGGACAGGACCCCAUAGAUACUGGUGGUUUCAGGGGUCUUACAGAUUAGGUUUCUCUGCCUACCAGUCAGAGCUCUCUCUCUCUCUCUCUUUAAACUUAUUUGGCUGCAUUGGGUCUUAUU